GAUGAACGCUGGCGGCGUGCCUAAUACAUGCAAGUAGAACGCUGAAGCUUGGUGCUUGCACCGAGCGGAGGAGUUGCGAACGGGUGAGUAACGCGUAGGUAACCUGCCUCUUAGCGGGGGAUAACUAUUGGAAACGAUAGCUAAUACCGCAUAAAAGUCGACAUUGCAUGAUGUUGACUUGAAGGGUGCAACUGCAUCACUAAGAGAUGGACCUGCGUUGUAUUAGCUAGUUGGUGAGGUAACGGCUCACCAAGGCGACGAUACAUAGCCGACCUGAGAGGGUGAUCGGCCACACUGGGACUGAGACACGGCCCAGACUCCUACGGGAGGCAGCAGUAGGGAAUCUUCGGCAAUGGACGGAAGUCUGACCGAGCAACGCCGCGUGAGUGAAGAAGGUUUUCGGAUCGUAAAGCUCUGUUGUAAGAGAAGAACGAGUGUGAGAGUGGAAAGUUCACACUGUGACGGUAACUUACCAGAAAGGGACGGCUAACUACGUGCCAGCAGCCGCGGUAAUACGUAGGUCCCGAGCGUUAUCCGGAUUUAUUGGGCGUAAAGCGAGCGCAGGCGGUUAGAUAAGUCUGAAGUUAAAGGCUGUGGCUUAACCAUAGUACGCUUUGGAAACUGUUUAACUUGAGUGCAGAAGGGGAGAGUGGAAUUCCAUGUGUAGCGGUGAAAUGCGUAGAUAUAUGGAGGAACACCGGUGGCGAAAGCGGCUCUCUGGUCUGUAACUGACGCUGAGGCUCGAAAGCGUGGGGAGCAAACAGG
rnacentral:rRNA from 1 species